rnacentral:rRNA from 1 species
AUUGAACGCUGGCGGCAGGCCUAACACAUGCAAGUCGAGCGGAUGAAGGGAGCUUGCUCCUGGAUUCAGCGGCGGACGGGCGAGUAAUGCCUAGGAAUCUGCCUGGUAGUGGGGGAUAACGUCCGGAGACGGGCGCUAAUACCGCAUACGUCCUGAGGGAGCAAGUGGGGGAUCUUCGGACCUCACGCUCUCAGAUGAGCCUAGGUCGGAUUAGCUAGUUGGUGGGGUAAAGGCCUACCAAGGCGACGAUCCGUAACUGGUCUGAGAGGAUGAUCAGUCACACGGGAACUGAGACACGGUCCAGACGCCUACGGGAGGCAGCAGUGGGGAAUAUUGGACAAUGGGCGAAAGCCUGAUCCAGCCAUGCCGCGUGUGUGAAGAAGGUCUUCGGAUUGUAAAGCACUUUAAGUUGGGAGGAAGGGCAGUAAGUUAAUACCUUGCUGUUUUGACGUUACCAACAGAAUAAGCACCGGCUAACUUCGUG